rnacentral:rRNA from 1 species
AGCAGCCGCGGUAAUUCCAGCUCCAAUAGCGUAUAUUAAAGUUGUUGCAGUUAAAAAGCUCGUAGUUGAAUUUCGGGAUUAGUACGUUGGUCGUGCCUUAGGUACGUACUGGUGUUACUGGUUCCUACCUUCUGACGAACCAUCAUGUCAUUAAUUUGGUGUGGCGGGGAAUCAGGACUGUUACUUUGAAAAAAUUAGAGUGUUUAAAGCAGGCUCGCGCUUGAAUACAUUAGCAUGGAAUAAUGAAAUAGGACGUUGACCCUAUUUUGUUGGUUUCUAGGAUUGACGUAAUGAUUAAUAGGGAUAGUUGGGGGCAUUAGUAUUCAAUUGUCAGAGGUGAAAUUCUUGGAUUUAUUGAAGACUAACUACUGCGAAAGCAUUUGCCAAGGAUGUUUUCAUUAAUCAAGAACGAAAGUUAGGGGAUCGAAGACGAUCAGAUACCGUCGUAGUCUUAACCAUAAACUAUGCCGACUAGGGAUCGGAUGAUGUUAUUUUUAAU